rnacentral:snoRNA from 1 species
ACCCUCCCAUUCCUUUGUCCAUCAUAUCUGAACACUGGUGUUGGUCAUCUUCAAAGGAUGAAUACAUAAUACUGAAUCUGGUCUCACAGAGCUCAUAAUCUGCUGUGUAGCACAUGGGCUAGUUUUUGGUUUUU